CGAAUAGAAUUAGUAAAAUCCUAAUCCAUUUCUGAGAAUUUUGAGAUUCGAACACGGGUUGUAACCCUAUAAAAAGGUAGAAGGUGGGUUUCUAUGUUAGGGCGUACACAUCAACAAGCGGCGCUGUUGUUACGCACUCUCUGGUUUUGGCUCUUGCGGAAGUCGCCCCAACGAGACGAGACGAAACGAAACCAAGCUUGCACCGACGUUCAUCGAUCCAUCCGCCAUCCGCCAUUCGCCGUCUGCUGUCCGCCGUUCCCGGUCCGCCGUCCUUAAUUCUCUCGUCAUGGACGUCCUGAGGACCGUCUUCAGCUGGGGAAGGAAUAAACCCUAUUUUAUAGAGGUGAGCAGUCGAUACUUGAAGAACCACCGCAAAAAAUGAUGAAACUGCAUGAGGAGAAGAAAGAGCAGGAGACUUGUAGGUGUGGAACAUGUGAAGUAGGGGAAAAGAAAGAAUAUGAGUAUUCGUCGGGAGAGGAUGAUGAUUACGUCUGGCCAAAUGGUACUCGCAGAAGGACCCGUGAAGAAUGGGCUAGAUAUUAUAAAUAAAUUGAGGAAAGCGAGGUAAUUUAAUAUUUAUCAACAUUCUUUUGAGAAUUAAGGUUUGAAAUCUUUUGCCAUACUAAUUGUAAAUAUGUCUUAUAGGGAUUUGACGUUGAUCCAUUUCCGGUCACAUCGGAGCUUGGUCUUAUAGGGGUAGAGGGUUAUGAUUCCGAACACAUCAUCAAAUGUGCAAAAGCAGCUAUUGAACGUUUUAACAGUGAGAAUAAUACGAGCUAUGAGUUUUUUAAGUUAGAGAAGAUAACUUGCAUUAUUGCAUCGGGAUUUGAGUACGUCUUACUUUUCGAGCAGUAGAUGGUGAAGCCGAACCCAAAACAUUCCAAGCUAUAACAUUUCUUGGGAUAGAUGAUAGUAUUAUUGUUGACUUUUGCAGGUUUAAGUCCACCGCUAGUUCGUAAAAGUUUAGUCUUUAGUAAAGAAGUCAGAUUGGGGCCCAAGAGAGCUGCUUGUUUUGGAUUUGAGCAGAGCUGCUAUUAAAAUUCUUUUGCACUUUCUGUUUUAACUGCAUUGGUUGAUCUUAGCUGGCAUUGGGGUUAUCUUUGCUAAGAAUAAAGCAUGUGGACACAAGCUCAUGUUACUGGCUUAACUCUGAUAUGUUCCUCUUAGUACUGAUUUGAAAUUUACGGCCAAUCUAUGCAGGGUCUCACUUGCCACCACUCUUGUGUGGUUCUGAAUUGUUUAAGAAUGUAUUUGUUGAUUUCUAAUGGUUAAGGAAAUAAGAAGUUUUAUCUUGUGCAACAUCCAGUGAGUAUAAAUACCAAGGUGGAGACUUUUCCUUCGCUGAGUGACGUUGUCAACUUCUUCUUUUUUCUUUUUAUUUUUUUGAGAAAAAGUAGCAUACUAUAGCUUCAUUCAUUUAGGAAAUGAACUUGGCUAUAAAGUGAGGCAGCUGUGGCCUCAUUAAAAAAAAAAAAGGUCAACAUGAAUUGUUAUUGAAGCAGAAACGGAGCCAUAGAUCCUUGAGAGUUCUAAUCUCGGCCAGAAAGUUCCCCGACGAUAGCUUAGUGCUUAGUAUUCGCGAAGAUUCUUCUAUUCUGCUUCCAACCAAAUAGCCCACCAAGUGGCAGUGAUAAUCACUAACACUCUAUCCCCCUGCAUUCCUCCUUUGUAACAGAUCACCUUCCAUAAUCCAUUAACUGAUGAACAGUUAUAAAGGAAACAUUUGUUUGGUA